rnacentral:rRNA from 1 species
UAAAUACUCCCGAGAGACCGAUAGCGAACCAGUACCGUGAGGGAAAGGUGAAAAGAACCCCGAGCAGGGGAGUGAAAUAGACCCUGAACCCGUCUGCCUACAAGCGGUCGGAGCGUCGUAAUGACGUGACGGCGUGCCUUUUGCAUAAUGAACCUACGAGUUACCUUCCCCGGCAAGGUUAAGUUCUUGAGGAACGGAGCCGAAGCGAAAGCGAGUCUGAACAGGGCGCCAAGUCGGGGGGGGUAGACGCGAAACCGAGUGAUCUACCCUUGGCCAGGUUGAAGGUUGGGUAACACCAACUGGAGGACCGGAUGGGUAAGCGUUGAAAAGCUUUCCAAUGAGCUGAGGGUAGGGGUGAAAGGCUAAUCAAACUCGGAGAUAGCUCGUACUCCCCGAAAUGCAUUUAGGUGCAGCCUCUUUAUAGUAUAUCGUGAGGUAGAGCGACUGAUUGGAUGCGAGGGCUUCACCGCCUAUCAAGUCCAGAUAAACUCCGAAUGCGCGAUAUAUAUUUACAGGGAGUGAGGGCGCGGGUGCUAAGGUCCGUGUCCGAGAGGAGAAGAAUCCAGACCACCGGCUAAGGCCCCCAAAUGAUCGUUAAGUUGAACUAACGAGGUCGGAUCGCAGAGACAGCUAGGAUGUUGGCUUGGAAGCAGCCAUUCAUUUAAAGAGUGCGUAACAGCUCACUAGUCGAGCGAUCUGGCGUGGAUAAUAAUCGGGCAUAAACGAUCUGCCGAAGCCGUGGAUGUCGCAAGACAUGGUAGGGGAGCAUUCCAUGCGGCGUCGAAGAUGAGGGAUGACCCUUGUUGGAGCGCAUGGAAAAGCAAAUGUAGGUAUGAGUAACGAUAAGGGGGGCGAGAAACCCCCCCGCCGAAAGACCAAGGUUUCCUGAUCAACGCUAAUCGGAUCAGGGUGAGUCGGGACCUAAGGCAAAGCCGAACGGCGCCGCCGAUGGAAGAAUGGGUUAAUAUUCCCAUACUGCCUCAUGGAGUGACGUGGAGACGGAGAAGUGACAGUCCUGCCGGCUGACGGAAUAGCCGGUUGAAGGGUGUAGAUAUUGAUUCCCGUAGGCAAAUCCGCGGGGAGAGUCGAACCUGAGAGUAUACGGAGCGCUUGCGCAACGUAAUAUGGACGUAACCAUGCUCCCAAGAAAAUCCGCUAAACUUAUCCAUGCGGCACCCGUACCGUAAACGGACACACGUGGUCGGGUUGAGAAUACUGAGGCGCUCGAGUGAUUCACGGUUAAGGAACUAGGCAAAUUGACCCUGUAACUUCGGGAUAAAGGGUCCCAACGAGAGUUGGGCGCAGAGAAUAGGUCCAGGCAACUGUUUAACAAAAACACAGGGCUGUGCCAAAUUGAAAGAUUACGUAUACAGCCUGACACCUGCCCGGUGCUGGAAGGUUAAGAGGAGAUGUCAUCGCAAGAGAAGCAUUGAAUUGAAGCCCCAGUAAACGGCGGCCGUAACUAUAACGGUCCUAAGGUAGCGAAAUUCCUUGUCGGGUAAGUUCCGACCUGCACGAAUGGUGUAAUGAUCUGGACGCUGUCUCAACCGUGAGCUCAGUGAAAUUGUAGUAUCGGUGAAGAUGCCGAUUACCCGCGAUGGGACGAAAAGACCCCGUGAACCUUUACUAUAGCUUAACAUUGAAUUUGGGUAAUUGAUGUGUAGGAUAGGCCGGAGGCUUCGAAGCAGGUACGCCAGUAUUUGUGGAGCCGCUGUUGAAAUACGGCCCUUUGAUUAUUUGAGUUCUAACCCGUGGCUGCGGGGACACUGUUUGGUGGGUAGUUUGACUGGGGUGGUCGCCUCCAAAAGUGUAACGGAGGCUUCUAAAGGUGCCCUCACGACGAUUGGUAACCGUCGGCAGAGUGUAAUGGCAUAAGGGCGCUUGACUGGGAGACUAACAAGUCGAUCAGGUAGGAAACUAGAGCAUAGUGAUCCGGUGUUUCUGUAUGGAAAGGACAUCGCUCAAAGGAUAAAAGGUACUCCGGGGAUAACAGGCUGAUCCCUCCCA